UACGAAGGGGGCUAGCGUUGUUCGGAAUUACUGGGCGUAAAGCGCACGUAGGCGGAUAUUUAAGUCAGGGGUGAAAUCCCGGGGCUCAACCCCGGAACUGCCUUUGAUACUGGGUAUCUAGAGUCCGGAAGAGGUGAGUGGAAUUCCGAGUGUAGAGGUGAAAUUCGUAGAUAUUCGGAGGAACACCAGUGGCGAAGGCGGCUCACUGGUCCGGUACUGACGCUGAGUGAGCGAAAGCCAGGGGAGCAAACGGG
rnacentral:rRNA from 1 species